rnacentral:rRNA from 1 species
GAUGAACGCUGGCGGUCUGCUUAACACAUGCAAGUCGAACGGAAUCCUUCGGGAUUUAGUGGCGGACGGGUGAGUAACGCGUGAGAAUCUGCCUUCAGGUUCGGGGCAACAGCUGGAAACGGCUGCUAAUACCGGAUGUGCCGAGAGGUGAAAGCUUUAGUGCCUGAAGAUGAGCUCGCGUCUGAUUAGCUAGUAGGAGUGGUAAUGGCACCCUAGGCGACGAUCAGUAGCUGGUCUGAGAGGAUGAUCAGCCACACUGGGACUGAGACACGGCCCAGACUCCUACGGGAGGCAGCAGUGGGGAAUUUUCCGCAAUGGGCGCAAGCCUGACGGAGCAAGACCGCGUGAGGGAAGAAGGUCUGUGGAUUGUAAACCUCUUUUGAUGGGGAAGAAGACAGUGACGGUACCCAUCGAAUCAGCCUCGGCUAACUCCGUGCCAGCCGCCGCAGUAA